rnacentral:rRNA from 1 species
UGCAUAUCAAUAAGCGGAGGAAAAGAAACCAACAGGGAUUGCCUCAGUAACGGCGAGUGAAGCGGCAACAGCUCAAAUUUGAAAUCUGGCCUCUUCGGGGUCCGAGUUGUAAUUUGUAGAGGAUGUUUCGGGUACCGCCUCGGUCUAAAUUUCUUGGAACAGAAUGUCAGAGAGGGUGAGAAUCCCGUCUUGGACCGGCGGUAGGGCCCAUGUGAAACUCCUUCGACGAGUCGAGUUGUUUGGGAAUGCAGCUCAAAAUGGGUGGUAAAUUUCAUCUAAAGCUAAAUAUUGGCCAGAGACCGAUAGCGCACAAGUAGAGUGAUCGAAAGAUGAAAAGAACUUUGAAAAGAGAGUUAAACAGUAUGUGAAAUUGUUGAAAGGGAAGCGCUUGCAACCAGACUUGAGCGCGGCGGUUCCCCCUUCCUUCUGGUUGGGUUACUCCGCCGUGUCCAGGCCAACAUCGGUUCUGGGGGUCGGUUAAAGGCUUGGGGAAUGUAUCUACUCCUUCGGGGGUAGACUUAUAGCCCCAGGUGUCAUGCGACCUCCCGGGACCGAGGAACGCGCUUCGGCUCGGAUGUUGGCGUAAUGGUUGUCAGCGACCCGUCUUGAAACACGGACC